UACAGAGGUCCCAAGCGUUGUUCGGAUUCACUGGGCGUAAAGGGUGCGUAGGUGGUGAGGUAAGUCUGAUGUGAAAUCCCGCAGCUCAACUGCGGAACUGCAUCGGAUACUAUCUUGCUAGAGGGUUUGAGGGGGGACUGGAAUUUACGGUGUAGCAGUGAAAUGCGUAGAUAUCGUAAGGAAGACCAGUGGCGAAGGCGGGUCUCUGGACAGUUCCUGACACUGAGACACGAAGGCCAGGGGAGCAAACGGG
rnacentral:rRNA from 1 species